AUUGAACGCUGGCGGCAGGCCUAACACAUGCAAGUCGAACGGUAGCACAGAGAGCUUGCUCUCGGGUGACGAGUGGCGGACGGGUGAGUAAUGUCUGGGAAACUGCCCGAUGGAGGGGGAUAACUACUGGAAACGGUAGCUAAUACCGCAUAACGUCUUCGGACCAAAGUGGGGGACCUUCGGGCCUCACACCAUCGGAUGUGCCCAGAUGGGAUUAGCUAGUGGGUGGGGUAAUGGCUCACCUAGGCGACGAUCCCUAGCUGGUCUGAGAGGGUGACGUGCCACACUGGAACUGAGACACGGGCCAGAAUCAUACGGGAGGCAGCAGUGGGGAAUAUUGCACAAUGGGCGCAAGCCUGAUGCCGCCAUGCCGCGUGUAUGAAGAAGGCCUUCGGGUUGUAAAGUACUUUCAGCGGGGAGGAAGGCGAUGGAGUUAAUAGCUUCAUCGAUUGACGUUACCCGCAGAAGAAGCACCAGCUAACUCCGUGCCAGCCGCCGCAGUAA
rnacentral:rRNA from 1 species